rnacentral:rRNA from 1 species
UUAUUAAUUGUUUUAUUUUAUAAAAAUUUUUUUGUUUAGGUAUUAUUUAGAUAUAAUUUUUUUUAUUAUAGUUAAUUUGUACUGUGAGGGGGGUUUUUUAUAUUUUUAAAAGAAAGUUUUAUUUGUUGUACCUUUUGUAUCAGGGUUUAUUAAUUAGUUAAUAUUUUUUUAUUUUUCUCGAAUUAUAAGGAGCUAGUUAUUUAUUUAUUUUAUUGUGGAAUAAAUAUUUUUAAUUUAAAGCUUGAAAUGAAAUGUUAUUCGUCUUUUAAUAUAUCUAGUUUCUAAGGAAUUAGAUUUAAUCUAUUUACUUGGAGGGUUAAUACUAAUUAGUGUUUUACUUUUUAAUUAGAUAAUAUUUAAGGGGAUUAGCUUUUAAUUAUUUUUAUAAUUAUUUAUUUGUUUUUAUUUUGUGGGAUUAGAAUUUUUUAUCAUUUUAAAUAUGUUUUAAUUUAAUUAGUGUUUUUAUUAUUUUAUUUUAUUUAAUAUAUUACUUGGAUUUUUUGGGUAGUUUUGUGGCCUUAAUUAAUAAUGAUGAAAUUAGUAAUAUAAUUUGUUUUCUUUUUGGUUAGUUAGUUUUGGCUAAGGAACUCGGCAAUUAGAUUUUUCGCCUGUUUAUUAAAAACAUGUCCUUUUGAUUAUUAUUUAAGGUCUUAUCUGCCCACUGAUUUUUGAAGGGCCGCAGUAUUUUGACUGUGCAAAGGUAGCAUAAUAAUUAGUUUCUUAAUUGGGAGCUGGUAUGAAUGAUGGGACGAGAAAAUUACUGUCUUUGCUUAAUUUUUAUUGAAUUUAACUUUUUAGUUAAAAGGCUAAGUUGUUUAUAAAAGACGAGAAGACCCUAUAGAGUUUUAUAGAUUUAAUUUAUUUGAUUUUUGGGAUUAAUAUUCUUUAAGUUAGUUUUUAUUUUAUUGGGGUGAUUGGAAAAUUGUUUAAACUUUUCUUUUUUUAAUUCAUUUAUUUAUGAUUUUUUGAUCCAGAUUUUUUGAUUAUAAGAUUAAAUUACCUUAGGGAUAACAGCGUAAUUCUUUUAGAGAGUUCUUAUCGAAAUUAGAGUUUGCGACCUCGAUGUUGGAUUAAAAUUUACUUUAGGUGUAGAAGCUUUGAGGUUAGGUCUGUUCGACCUUUAAAAUUUUACAUGAUCUGAGUUUAAACCGGUGUGAGCCAGGUUGGUUUCUAUCUUUAUUUUAUUAAAAUAUUUUAGUACGAAAGGACCAUUUAUUUAUAUAAUAUAUUUAUUUUUGAGUAUUAU